ensembl:lncRNA
GUAGUUUUGCUCUCUUUGCCUGUCGCUAUUGUGUGUGUGUGUGUGUGUGUGUGUGUGUGUGUGUGUGUGUGUGUGUGUGUGUGUGUGUGUGUGUGUGUGUGUGUGUGUGUGUGUGUGUGUGUGUGUGUGUGUGCGCUGCCUCUGCUCUGCCUGUGAGCUGGAUUCAGGAGUUUCACAUGGAUGCAGUAGAAGAGUGUUGUUUAGAUGUGCUAGCUAGGUGCAUAUCGAGGAUGGGCACAAGUGCAGCAGAGGGGUUAACAUCAGAACAUUCUGGAGGGUUCUUGUUGUCGAGGCGAAGCAAAUUCAGGAAUGUUUUGCAGGGAAUCAUAGAGAUGCUGGAUGCGUGCCAGCAACACUGCAUCACACUUGGUGGGAGGGGAGGAAAACGGGAUUUCAUCACCCAGGAAGUGUCACCCACCCCUUACCAACGGGCCGGAGGGACAGUUAGCAGUGGCGCAGUUGCAGUCGCAGUGACUCAGUAGCAGUGACUUAUGAUGUGUUCCAGAUGCCUCUUACACCACCCGCACGAGUUGCUCUUGUGGCGUAAUUUCCUGGCUUGUAACACUUAUAGCCUUCCUGUUUGUCUUUGUGAUUGCGUCAUGUCAUUGGCUAGUCAUUGUUAGCCACAUUAGCCUCUCUAGCAAACCAGCUAGAAGAAAAACACAACUUUACAUUGUAUUUCACGCACAGCAAGACCGUGCAAUGCAUAAAUUGAUGACCGGAAUAACGAAGAAAUGUAAUCAAGUGUGUAAGAGCAUUUAAAAUCGACAUUAAAAUGACCAAUGACCGGGUACGAAUACAAAGAAAAUAAAUCCAAUUUUUGGACCAGCCAUUUUUGUUGUCGAGUUGUACGGUCAACCUCACUGAACUCUGUAUAGGCCUACUCUCAGAAUCAACCAAAACUUUUGGUCGGUCCCAGGUGAAAUGCCGCAAGAAAGCUGGGAGAUUACCCCAUUUGCAACUUGUUCGGCUGGUGUACGAGGCAUCUGGAACACACCAUCAGUUAGCGUGAGGCAGUUAGCCAUGACUCAGUUAGCCAUGGCACAGUAGCAGUGACUCAGUUAGCAGUCAUUCAGCUAGCCAUGGUACAGUAGCAGUGACUCAGUAGCAUUGACUCAUUAACAUUGACGCAGUAGCAGUGACGCAGUUGGCAUUGACGCAGUAGC